UACGUAGGGGGCUAGCGUUAUCCGGAAUUACUGGGCGUAAAGGGUGCGUAGGUGGUUUCUUAAGUCAGAGGUGAAAGGCUACGGCUCAACCGUAGUAAGCCUUUGAAACUAGGGAACUUGAGUGCAGGAGAGGAGAGUGGAAUUCCUAGUGUAGCGGUGAAAUACGUAGAUACUAGGAGGAACACCAGUUGCGAAGGCGGCUCUCUGGACUGUAACUGACACUGAGGCACGAAAGCGUGGGGAGCAAACAGG
rnacentral:rRNA from 1 species